rnacentral:rRNA from 1 species
UACGUAGGGUGCGAGCGUUGUCCGGAAUUACUGGGCGUAAAGAGCUCGUAGGUGGUUUGUCGCGUUGUUCGUGAAAUCUCACGGCUUAACUGUGAGCGUGCGGGCGAUACGGGCAGACUAGAGUACUGCAGGGGAGACUGGAAUUCCUGGUGUAGCGGUGGAAUGCGCAGAUAUCAGGAGGAACACCGGUGGCGAAGGCGGGUCUCUGGGCCGAUAUCGACGCUGAGGAGCGAAAGCGUGGGGAGCGAACAGG